ACUCCUACGGGAGGCAGCAGUGGGGAAUCUUAGACAAUGGGGGAAACCCUGAUCUAGCCAUGCCGCGUGAGUGACGAAGGCCCUAGGGUCGUAAAGCUCUUUCGCCAGGGGAGAUAAUGACGGUACCUGGUAAAGAAACCCCGGCUAACUCCGUGCCAGCAGCCGCGGUAAU
rnacentral:rRNA from 1 species